UCGGAAUCUGGGAGGACCAUCUCCUAAGGCUAAAUACUCUCUAGUGACCGAUAGUGAACCAGUACCGUGAGGGAAAGGUGAAAAGCACCCCGGAAGGGGAGUGAAAUAGAACCUGAAACCGUGUGCUUACAAGUAGUCAGAGCCCGUUAAUGGGUGAUGGCGUGCCUUUUGUAGAAUGAACCGGCGAGUUACGAUUUGAUGCAAGGUUAAGCAGUAAAUGUGGAGCCGUAGCGAAAGCGAGUCUGAAUAGGGCGUUUAGUAUUUGGUCGUAGACCCGAAACCAGGUGAUCUACCCUUGGUCAGGUUGAAGUUCAGGUAACACUGAAUGGAGGACCGAACCGACUUACGUUGAAAAGUGAGCGGAUGAACUGAGGGUAGCGGAGAAAUUCCAAUCGAACCUGGAGAUAGCUGGUUCUCUCCGAAAUAGCUUUAGGGCUAGCCUCAAGUGAUGAUUAUUGGAGGUAGAGCACUGUUUGGACGAGGGGCCCCUCUCGGGUUACCGAAUUCAGACAAACUCCGAAUGCCAAUUAAUUUAACUUGGGAGUCAGAACAUGGGUGAUAAGGUCCGUGUUCGAAAGGGAAACAGCCCAGACCACCAGCUAAGGUCCCAAAAUAUAUGUUAAGUGGAAAAGGAUGUGGCGUUGCCCAGACAACUAGGAUGUUGGCUUAGAAGCAGCCAUCAUUUAAAGAGUGCGUAAUAGCUCACUAGUCGAGUGACACUGCGCCGAAAAUGUACCGGGGCUAAACAUAUUACCGAAGCUGUGGAUUGUCCUUUGGACAAUGGUAGGAGAGCGUUCUAAGG
rnacentral:rRNA from 1 species